AUAAAUAAACGUUGAAAUAAGCAACUAAUUCUCAUGGAUCUCAAAGACGAAGGAAGUCCUGACCGUCCUCCAGUGACCGCAGCUCAUUUUCAGACACUGUUCAUGUCCAAUAUUUAAAAUCACAAAAAGGUCGUGAUCUCCUUGUCCUUAGGUAUCAUCCAGUCCUGUGGACAACCAAAUGCUAACCUGCAUGUUAAGACCAUUUUCUUUCUCUCAGAAAAAUUAUACACGUUCAUUAUAGACAAAUACAGGUAGGUGAAAAGGAAAAGAGAAAAACCAGAAUGUCACCACCAAAAAUAACUUCCGUCAAACGUGUUUAUAUGUUCAUGUUUUCCACACAAAAAGGCGGGCGUAGUACCCAUUCUGUUCUAGAAUUUUCUGAUUACAUUUACUUACAUGUCACAAAGAUUUUCCUUGUUAUUUUAUGCUUUUCUAUACAAUGAUUUUUUUUAUGAGUAUGAUUUAUUGUCAAAAUGGCUUACAUACGUACACGAUGAUUUUGAAUUGUGGAAUCAUUGCCCCUACUUUUCCACUGAAUGGAUGGACCAUACAGAACUCUACCCAACUCCUGUGGUAAUAACACAUGUAAAUUAUGUCUAGUUUUUGGCUGUCGUAAGCAACAUCCUACAUGAAAAAGCUCUCCAUGUACAUCCCUAUUUCCAAGGGUUAAAUUCCUAGAGGUGGGAUUUCCGGGUUUUGGGGUUCUAUGUAUUUAUGAGGUGUUCCAUCUUCAAAUGUCAUUGUCCUCAUGUGUCUGAUGGCAGGGAUUUGAAACCAGUGAAUUGUAUAAUCAUCUUCUGUAGUCAUAAGCUUCCUGUUGAGUCCUGUUGAGUCCUCUGGGAAGGAAGUACCCCUGAAACCAAUAUCAUCCAAAGUACCUUAGCUUGACCACAUUCUAUCUUCCCAGUAGAGGAGCAAGAUCCUAAGAGGGAAAGGCAAGUUAUGAGGGCAUCAAAAAUCUCAUUUCUCUCUCAAGUGACCCCCUGUGGGGUGCCCUCUUGCUGUAGCCUUAUUUGAAAUCAAGGAAACUGAUCCCAAGGGGGCCCUGAGGCCAACUCUGCAACUGGACCAACUUCACAGUCGAGAGCCCUGGAGCUGUGGCUCCCUGCCCCUACCCAUGAUUCCUACAAGGAGACUGAGACAACACAUUGACCAUCGGUAGCCUCCCUUCCCCUUGCUCGGGUGGGCCUUCGUCUCGGGUCCACUCAUCAGCCCUGGGAUCCUGCCUCACUCUAAUGUGACGUGUAGAGAGAGGAGCGAGGGGCCUUGGUGCACGCCCAGGAGCCGGGGUUCUGCUACUAACCCUCUAGGUCUCCCGGGACAUCAUUUCACCUUUCCAGAGAUGGAAGAGACUGUCCGCCUGUUCACCAAAUAUGGUUCUUCUUCUCUCUGGGCACACAGCAAGACUCCAUCUCCCAGACUCCUUUGCAGAGCUGCAAACGGGCUAAGACUCAAGCUCAUGGCUUCAGGAUCCUGUUCCCACAACGGCACAGAUUUCUGGUUCAGGAGGACCUGACCCUCCAGGAUCCUGCUGGUGGGUGAAGCCCGCCAAGUGAGCAGAGAGGAGUCUAAGUAUUGCCACUGCUGACGGGCUGGAGGGCCAGCGCGGCCUCCCCUCGUGCUCACGUGCACCCCGCGCCAUCUGUCCCCGGGUCUCCCAG